rnacentral:rRNA from 1 species
GAGUUUGAUCAUGGCUCAGAUUGAACGCUGGCGGUAGGCUUAACACAUGCAAGUCGUGCGAGAAAGUAUCUUCGGAUAUGAGUAGAGCGGCGGACGGGUGAGUAACGCGUAGGAAUCUACCUAGUAGAAGGGGAUAGCCCGGGGAAACCCGGAUUAAUACCGUAUACCUCCUUCGGGAGAAAGAAGGCCUCUCUUUGAAGCUUUCGCUACUAGAUGAGCCUGCGUAAGAUUAGCUUGUUGGUGAGGUAAAGGCUCACCAAGGCGACGAUCUUUAGCUGGUCUGAGAGGACGAUCAGCCACAUUGGGACUGAGACACGGCCCAAACUCCUACGGGAGGCAGCAGUGGGGAAUCUUGCACAAUGGAGGAAACUCUGAUGCAGCGAUGCCGCGUGAGUGAAGAAGGCCUUUGGGUUGUAAAGCUCUUUCGUCGGGGAAGAAAAUGACUGUACCCGAAUAAGAAGGUCCGGCUAACUUCGUGCCAGCAGCCGCGGUAAUACGAAGGGACCUAGCGUAGUUCGGAAUUACUGGGCUUAAAGAGUUCGUAGGUGGUUGAAAAAGUUGGUGGUGAAAUCCCAGAGCUUAACUCUGGAACUGCCAUCAAAACUUUUCAGCUAGAGUAUGAUAGAGGAAAGCAGAAUUUCUAGUGUAGAGGUGAAAUUCGUAGAUAUUAGAAAGAAUACCAAUUGCGAAGGCAGCUUUCUGGAUCAUUACUGACACUGAGGAACGAAAGCAUGGGUAGCGAAGAGGAUUAGAUACCCUCGUAGUCCAUGCCGUAAACGAUGUGUGUUAGACGUUGGAAAUUUAUUUUCAGUGUCGCAGGGAAACCGAUAAACACACCGCCUGGGGAGUACGACCGCAAGGUUAAAACUCAAAUGAAUUGACGGGGACCCGCACAAGUAGUGGAGCAUGUGGUUUAAUUCGAAGAUACGCGCAGAACCUUACCAACACUUGACAUGUUCGUCGCGACUCUAAGAGAUUAGAGUUUUCGGUUCGGCCGGACGAAACACAGGUGCUGCAUGGCUGUCGUCAGCUCGUGUCGUGAGAUGUUGGGUUAAGUCCCGCAACGAGCGCAACCCUCACUUUUAGUUGCCAUCAUUAAGUUGGGCACUCUGAAAGAACUGCCAGUGAUAAGCUGGAGGAAGGUGGGGAUGACGUCAAGUCCUCAUGGCCCUUAUGGCCAGGGCUUCACACGUAAUACAAUGGUCGGUACAGAGGGAAGCCAACCCGCGAGGGGGAGCCAAUCUCAGAAAGCCGGUCGUAGUCCGGAUUGUUGUCUGCAACUCGACAGCAUGAAGUCGGAAUCGCUAGUAAUCGCGGAUCAGCAUGUCGCGGUGAAUACGUUCCCGGGCCUUGUACACACCGCCCGUCACACCAUGGGAGUGGGUUUUACCAGAAGUAGUUAGUCUAUCCGCAAGGGGGACGAUUACCACGGUAGGAUUUACAGCUGGGGUGAAGUCGUAACAAGGUAACC